AUGCAUGUGCUUCCUCUUCAGGGGAAGGAAAUACUGCAAAAAAAAAGAAGCAUCUCAGAUGUGGGAUCUUUAAGACGUGUGUUUUGCCUGUUGAGCAGGUGCUUGGGGUUUGCUGGACCGAUGAAGUGUGGUCAGUUUCUGCAAGGGUCUGGACUUGUUUCCCGCAGCCCUGGCAGUGGCCGUGUGGUGGCUGAGCAGACAGAACCAACGCCCGUGGGUGUUUGGCCAGCUGGCCCUGGCCUCCCACUAGGCCGUCAAAGACGCCUUCUGGAACUGGCGGCCACCUUGGCCCACUCGUUAUCCAGCAGGAUAAUAAAUGCAGACAGCAGAGCAAGGCCAGAGUCAGGCCGCUGCUGCUCUUCAGUGAGAUCAGUGCUGCCCGGCAGGGGCCGCUAGCAAUGUUCUGACAAGUCCUGCAAACUCUGCCAAGACAGCAGGAGCCCAGGCCUCACGGAUCUCCAGGUGGAAAUCUGAAGCUGUGGGUAGAGGGGGUCCUGCUGUGGUGGGGGGGGAGCCACCUGCUCCUGGGGCACCCACAGCCCAGCCCCCCCAAAGGAAGAGGCUCUGAGAAGGCCCUUCUGCCUCCUGCCUUCCUUCCUCCUUCCACCUGGCUGCCCCCAUGCCUGGCCGUAGGCGCAGGGCCAGGGGCUGGCACACCACACCCACCAAUAGGCUUGGCAUGCAAUGCAGAUUCCUUACCUAAAACAAACCAACACUCACACCUUUAUAUCCAAACUCCAUUCAAUCCGACUACCUUUUUCCAUAUUGUCUUGUUGGCAAUUGUGUCUUUUUUUUUUUUUGGUCUAUUAAAACCAUCAUUUUUUCCUCACCCUCUAAGCUAAAUCAUUAUUUCAGUUCCUAACCUUUGCAAAUACUCUGCUUCCUGUACAAUAGGGAUCAUUGUGUGUCCUCAGCAGCAGCCUGGCAGAAACACGGAACCACACGCCUGUGUCAGCUUAGUGACUCAGCAAACGGAGAGGCUCUGCUUCCACCGGGGCCCCUCCAGCCGGCCCAUGGGUUGGGUGGUGCUUCCUGGCCCUGCGGCUGUACCCUGACCCUGUUGGGUGCCAUGGCCGCUGGUAGGGGUGGGCGGCCCGCUCUGACCUCAGACCCCAUCCAGAAGCGCCUGCUGCCAUGCAGCAUGGGAAGCCCCCCGCCCCUCGCCCUGUACUUGGUUAGAGAAAGAUCUGGAAGAUACGCAACUGGAAAACAAGGUGUCGCUGGUGGUGAGGAGUUGCUGGCAGGCGAGUACCAUGCCCAAGGCGGGGAGGAAGAGCGUCUAGACUGAAAGUAAACGCACUACCUAAAAGGCGAGAAUGAGUCGUAGCUGAUGGACAAAACUGAGGCCAAGCCCAGGACACAGCCUCUCAGGGGCCCUUAGGGAGGCUCCAAAGAG
rnacentral:lncRNA from 1 species